UCUACCCUUGGUCAGGUUGAAGUUCAGGUAACACUGAAUGGAGGACCGAACCGACUUACGUUGAAAAGUGAGCGGAUGAACUGAGGGUAGCGGAGAAAUUCCAAUCGAACCUGGAGAUAGCUGGUUCUCUCCGAAAUAGCUUUAGGGCUAGCCUCAAGUGAUGAUUAUUGGAGGUAGAGCACUGUUUGGACGAGGGGCCCCUCUCGGGUUACCGAAUUCAGACAAACUCCGAAUGCCAAUUAAUUUAACUUGGGAGUCAGAACAUGGGUGAUAAGGUCCGUGUUCGAAAGGGAAACAGCCCAGACCACCAGCUAAGGUCCCAAAAUAUAUGUUAAGUGGAAAAGGAUGUGGCGUUGCCCAGACAACUAGGAUGUUGGCUUAGAAGCAGCCAUCAUUUAAAGAGUGCGUAAUAGCUCACUAGUCGAGUGACACUGCGCCGAAAAUGUACCGGGGCUAAACAUAUUACCGAAGCUGUGGAUUGUCCUUUGGACAAUGGUAGGAGAGCGUUCUAAGGGCGUUGAAGCAUGAUCGUAAGGACAUGUGGAGCGCUUAGAAGUGAGAAUGCCGGUGUGAGUAGCGAAAGACGGGUGAGAAUCCCGUCCACCGAUUGACUAAGGUUUCCAGAGGAAGGCUCGUCCGCUCUGGGUUAGUCGGGUCCUAAGCUGAGGCCGACAGGCGUAGGCGAUGGAUAACAGGUUGAUAUUCCUGUACCACCUAUAAUCGUUUUAAUCGAUGGGGGGACGCAGUAGGAUAGGCGAAGCGUGCGAUUGGAUUGCACGUCUAAGCAGUAAGGCUGAGUAUUAGGCAAAUCCGGUACUCGUUAAGGCUGAGC
rnacentral:rRNA from 1 species